rnacentral:rRNA from 1 species
AGUGAACGCUGGCGGCAGGCCUAAUACAUGCAAGUCGAACGGCAGCACAGUGGAGCUUGCUCCAUGGGUGGCGAGUGGCGGACGGGUGAGGAAUACAUGGGAAUCUGCCCAGUCGUGGGGAUAACGUAUGGAAACGUACGCUAAUACCGCAUGCGCCCUUCGGGGGAAAGUCGGGGACCGCAAGGCCUGACGCGAUUGGAUGAGCCCAUGUUCGAUUAGCUAGUUGGCGGGUAACGGCCCACCAAGGCGACGAUCGAUAGCUGGUCUGAGAGGAUGAUCAGCCACACUGGAACUGAGACACGGUCCAGACUCCUACGGGAGGCAGCAGUAGGGAAUAUUGGACAAUGGGCGCAAGCCUGAUCCAGCCAUGCCGCGUGAGUGAAGAAGGCCCCCGGGUUGUAAAGCUCUUUUGUUGGGGAAGAAAAGCAGUUGGUUAAUACCCGAUUGUUCUGACGGUACCCAAAGAAUAAGCACCGGCUAACUUCGUGCCAGCAGCCG